GACGAACGCUGGCGGCAUGCCUAAUACAUGCAAGUCGAGCGGACUUGAUGAGAAGCUUGCUUCUCAGAUAGUUAGCGGCGGACGGGUGAGUAACACGUAGGCAACCCGCCCUCAAGCUUGGGACAACUACCGGAAACGGUAGCUAAUACCGAAUACUUGUUUUCUUCGCCUGAAGGAAACUGGAAAGACGGAGUAAUCUGUCACCUGGGGAUGGGCCUGCGGCGCAUUAGCUAGUUGGUGAGGUAACGGCUCACCAAGGCGACGAUGCGUAGCCAACCUGAGAGGGUGAUCGGCCACACUGGGACUGAGACACGGCCCAGACUCCUACGGGAGGCAGCAGUAGGGAAUCUUCCGCAAUGGGCGAAAGCCUGACGGAGCAAUGCCGCGUGAGUGAUGAAGGUUUUCGGAUCGUAAAGCUCUGUUGCCAGGGAAGAACGCUUGGGAGAGUAACUGCUCCCAAGGUGACGGUACCUGAGAAGAAAGCCCCGGCUAACUACGUGCCAGCCGCCGCCGUAA
rnacentral:rRNA from 1 species